rnacentral:rRNA from 1 species
GUCCUGGCUGUAAACGAUGGAUACUUGCUGUGGGGGGUAUUAAAUCCCUCUGUGGCGGAGCUAACGCGAUAAGUAUACCGCCUGGGGAGUACGGUCGCAAGUCUGAAACUCAAAGGAAUUGACGGGGGCCCGCACAAGCGGUGGAGCAUGUGGUUCAAUUCGACGCAACGCGAAGAACCUUACCUGGGCUUGAACUGGGGGAGGAAGCGAGCAGAGAUGUUAGUGUACUUAACCGGAUCUUCUCAGAGGUGCUGCAUGGCUGUCGU